GACGAACGCUGGCGGCGUGCUUAACACAUGCAAGUCGAACGGAAAGGCCCUGCUUUUGUGGGGUGCUCGAGUGGCGAACGGGUGAGUAACACGUGAGUAACCUGCCCUUGACUUUGGGAUAACUUCAGGAAACUGGGGCUAAUACCGGAUAGGAGCUCCUGCUGCAUGGUGGGGGUUGGAAAGUUUCGGCGGUUGGGGAUGGACUCGCGGCUUAUCAGCUUGUUGGUGGGGUAGUGGCUUACCAAGGCUUUGACGGGUAGCCGGCCUGAGAGGGUGACCGGCCACAUUGGGACUGAGAUACGGCCCAGACUCCUACGGGAGGCAGCAGUGGGGAAUAUUGCACAAUGGGCGGAAGCCUGAUGCAGCAACGCCGCGUGCGGGAUGACGGCCUUCGGGUUGUAAACCGCUUUCGCCUGUGACGAAGCGUGAGUGACGGUAAUGGGUAAAGAAGCACCGGCUAAUUACGUGCCAGCAGCCGCGGUGAUACGUAGGGUGCGAGCGUUGUCCGGAUUUAUUGGGCGUAAAGGGCUCGUAGGUGGUUGAUCGCGUCGGAAGUGUAAUCUUGGGGCUUAACCCUGAGCGCGCUUUCGAUACGGGUUGACUUGAGGAAGGUAGGGGAGAAUGGAAUUCCUGGUGGAGCGGUGGAAUGCGCAGAUAUCAGGAGGAACACCAGUGGCGAAGGCGGUUCUCUGGGCCUUUCCUGACGCUGAGGAGCGAAAGCGUGGGGAGCGAACAGGCUUAGAUACCCUGGUAGUCCGCGCUGUAAACGGUGGGUACUAGGUGUGGGGUCCAUUCCACGGGUUCCGUGCCGUAGCUAACGCUUUAAGUACCCCGCCUGGGGAGUACGGCCGCAAGGCUAAAACUCAAAGGAAUUGACGGGGCCCCGCACAAGCGGCGGAGCAUGCGGAUUAAUUCGAUGCAACGCGUAGAACCUUACCUGGGUUUGACAUGGAUCGGGAGUGCUCAGAGAUGGGUGUGCCUCUUUUGGGGUCGGUUCACAGGUGGUGCAUGGCUGUCGUCAGCUCGUGUCGUGAGAUGUUGGGUUAAGUCCCGCAACGAGCGCAACCCUUGUUCACUGUUGCCAGCACGUUAUGGUGGGGACUCAGUGGAGACCGCCGGGGUCAAUUCGGAGGAAGGUGGGGAUGACGUCAAGUCGUCAUGCCCCUUAUGUCCAGGGCUUCACGCAUGCUACAAUGGCUGGUACAGAGAGUGGCGAGCCUGUGAGGGUGAGCGAAUCUCGGAAAGCCGGUCUCAGUUCGGAUUGGGGUCUGCAACUCGACCUCAUGAAGUCGGAGUCGCUAGUAAUCGCAGAUCAGCAACGCUGCGGUGAAUACGUUCCCGGGGC
rnacentral:rRNA from 1 species